UUUCCGGUUGAUCCCGCCGGACCUGACUGCUAUCGGAUUGGUACUAAGCCAUGUGAGUCGUUGUGGCAAUACAAGGCAUACGGCUCAGUAACACGUAGUCAAUCUAACCUAUGGACGGGGAUAACCUCGGGAAACUGAGGAUAAAACCCGAUAGAUCAUAAUGCCUGGAACGGUUUAUGGUUCAAAUGAUUCGUCGCCGUAGGGUGGGACUGCGGCCUAUCAGCUUGUUGGUGAGGUAAUGGCCCACCAAGGCUAUUACAGGUACGGGCUCUGAGAGGAGAAGCCCGGAGAUGGGUACUGAGACACGGACCCAGGCCCUAUGGGGCGCAGCAGGCGAGAAACCUUUGCAAUGUGCGCAAGCACGACAAGGUUAAUCCGAGUGUUUCCUGUUAAAGGAAUCUUUUGUUAGUUCUAAAACCACUAUUGAAUAAGGGGUGGGCAAGUUCUGGUGUCAGCCGCCGCGCUAAAACCAGCACCUCAAGUGGUCAGGAUGAUUAUUGGGCCUAAAGCAUCCGUAGCCUGUUCUGUAAGUUUCCGGUUAAAUCCAUUAGCUCAACUAAUGGGCUGCCGAAAAUACUGCAGAACUAGGGAGUGGGAGAGGUAGACGGUACUCGGUAGGAAGGGGUAAAAUCCUUUGAUCUAUUGAUGACCACCAGUGGCGAAGCCGGUCUACCAGAACACGUUCGACGGUGAGGGAUGAAAGCUGGGGGAACAAACCGGAUUAGAUACCCGGGUAGUCCCAGCUGUAAACGAUGCAGACUCGAUGAUGCGCUGGCUGUGGCCAGUGCAGUGCCGCAGGGAAGCCGUUAAGUUUGCCGCCUGGGAAGUACGUACGCAGGUAUGAAACUUAAAGGAAUUGGCGGGGGAGCACCA
rnacentral:rRNA from 1 species